rnacentral:rRNA from 1 species
AUACGGAGGGUGCAAGCGUUACUCGGAAUCACUGGGCGUAAAGCGCGCGCAGGCGGUCUUUUAAGUUGGAUGUGAAAGCCUACGGCUCAACCGUAGAACUGCAUCCAAAACUAUUAGACUAGAGUGUGGGAGAGGAAGAUGGAAUUAGUUGUGUAGGGGUAAAAUCCGUAGAGAUAACUAGGAAUACCAAAAGCGAAGGAAAUCUUCUGGAACACUACUGACGCUGAGGCGCGAAAGCGUGGGGAGCAAACAGGAUUAGAAACCCUAGUAGUCC